AUUGAACGCUGGCGGCAUGCCUAAUACAUGCAAGUCGAACGAUCUCUUCGGAGAUAGUGGCGCACGGGUGCGUAACGCGUGGGAAUCUACCCUUGGGUUCGGAAUAACAUCGAGAAACUGAUGCUAAUACCGGAUGAUGACGUAAGUCCAAAGAUCUAUCGCCCAGGGAUGAGCCCGCGUAGGAUUAGCUAGUUGGUGAGGUAAAGGCUCACCAAGGCGACGAUCCUUAGCUGGUCUGAGAGGAUGAUCAGCCACACUGGGACUGGGACACGGCCCAGACUCCUACGGGAGGCAGCAGUAGGGAAUAUUGGACAAUGGGGGCAACUCUGAUCCAGCAAUGCCGCGUGAGUGAUGAAGGCCUUAGGGUUGUAAAGCUCUUUUACCCGGGAUGAUAAUGACAGUACCGGGAGAAUAAGCCCCGGCUAACUCCGUGCCAGCAGCCGCCGCCG
rnacentral:rRNA from 1 species